UUUGCUACCGUCACUGCCCCCAAAACUCACACAGACCGACCCCCACGCAGCGAGGAACUAGUGAAGCUCCAACCAGCCAGCAGCAGCCAUAACCUUCACUGUGUGACUGCUGACAAACUUUUGAGACACACCCCAUUGAUGAGUUUUAUUUGACUGCAGCCCCGCCUGGUUCGGAGGGAUCUCUCCACUGCCAUUGGUCCACAGUUAGAACUCACCAUACCUGCCCCCUGGCUCCUGUGGACUGGAGCCAAAUACUUCUUCCACCUGUCAAUCACAAAGAGAUCAGCCAGUGGGAUGAGAGAGGCCAGGCUUGGCGGGUGUGUUCCCCACAGGUGUGGCUGAGAAGCACAUUCCAAUAUGUACAUACCUGUCAGCUCCUCUGGUAUUCAGCUGCUCCUAGAAAGACCUCUGUUGACCACUGGCUCUCCCCUUUCCCUCCUGCUGGGGCCCAUGCAGAGGGAGAAGGAAAUAGCUCGUGUUUCGGUCGCACAAAUAAGUGUUUUUUAAACUCAUGCUAUCUGGCUCUUCAAUUCAUGCCCGAAGAAGAUGACAUUUCCUUUCAAGUUAUGAUGUCCAGUUCAGGAGAAAGCAUUUGGGUAGCGGAGAAAACACAUUCUGUAAUCAAAUAGGACAGUGAAGUUGAAAUGAUGUCAAGGGUUUGGAAAAAUAAAGGUGAUUUAAAGGUCAAGCGGCACCGUGCAUUGCGGGAUCUCAUUAUACAUUGUGAUAUGUGGAAUCAGUUAGCAUACAGGUGCAGGCAGUGGCAUGUGCCCUCCCCCUCCCCCCCAGCAGAGAACCUCAGAUGCCUCUUUCCUUCAGAAUAAAAUCAACCCGAAUGUUUCCAACGUGCAUCAUUGCAUUGUCUCCUUCUCUGGUAUGCAGCCUGUCUCUCUGUCUUUCUCUUUUCCUGUAAUUUUUAUCCUGUCUUCUCUUCAUCCUGCUCUCUCUCUCACUCUCUCUCUCUUUCUCUCCCGCCUCCUCUGUGGCUCUUCAUCCUGCUCUCCUCUCAGAGUACAGGAGUGAACAGUGUGUGCCUCAGGCAGGUGCGGGAAUGCAGGUUUGCAGCAUUCAGAGGCCUAAAGCAAAGCAGAGCGGCCCAGGCCAUGAUUUGGCUCUGUGCGAGUCUGUGCAUGUGUAGAGCUGAAUCACAGCAGCCACAGUGACUAAGCUCCUCUGUGUCGUUAGUCACAUUUGUAGAGUUUAGCUGUUGGUCUCAUCAGACCAAGCUAAUUUUGGCUUUUUAAAAAAAUCCCCAAAGUUGGGAGGAAGUCGGCAUCUUUCAUGGACAAUUCAAGGUGCAGGUGUAAAACAAGGUUCUGUGUCAUGUUUAAGUGGUGGCAUCGGUCUAUAAAAGGACACUGCUGUUACACAAUCACAGCUUACAACAAAAUGAACUAGUGUCAUUAUGUGGGAGGUCAGUAAUGAAGAAUCCUAUAAUCCUUUUAAAAAGAAGUUGCAGCUACUGAUGAGCAUGUAAUGAAAUCGAAUGUGUUACUGCGAUUUUUGAUUACAAUGCCUAAAUUUCAAUGUUAUUAAUCUGUUUUUGUAAUGAGAGUGAGAGUAUGAUAUCCUGCAGUUUAAUGAGAGCUAAAGUGGAAAUAUAGCUGAAAAUUCAGAAAAAAGAAUAACAUUUCCGAAAAAUAUUUAAGUUAUAAUGAAUUAUAUGUUUAUUAUUGAUAUAAAUAAAGAACUUCAAGAGGUUCAGGAAACUUCAGCUUCAGGAAAGACUUGUGGUCUGAUCAUAGACUGUAUAUAGAAGUGUAGUAUAGUAUAUACAGUCUAUGGGUAUGAUACACUCAUAUACUAUAUGCUCAAGUGUUGCUCUAAGUGUGAAUUGUAAAAGCGUCAAAUUAACAUUUUUCAGUGAGACUGUACCGGGGACAUGCUGGUACAGGUCCACUGUCAUUUUGAAGGUCCUCUUGUAGUGUGAUGUGGGGUUGGACUGCAUUAUAUUUGACUAUCCUCAGGUGUCAUGAGUGGGGCCCGACUGACAAACCAGGGAAAAAGACAAUUUUAGAAUUUUUUUUUUUUUUUUUUAAGAUUUUCUCAUACAUAUGAUUUUUAAGUGAUUUCAAAGUAAACUGCAAAAUUAUGGAAACAGUAUGUGUAGACUCUCAUAGAUCUUGGCAAUAAAAAAACUCAGUUUUAUGUUUUGGAUUUUCAGAUUUUCCCAUCAGAAUAUCUGUUGUUUACAUUGAUCAAGAAAAUAUAAAAUGCUCACUUAAAGAAUGCCACCAUAAACUGUGCAAUCCUCUUUCUAUGAGUAAAAAACAUGAAAAAAAUUGCAGCGUCUAAGGCAGAAAUAAAAAAGCUUAUUUCCCAACACAAGGAAUAAUAUGUAAGAUAAUGUGUUGGGCAUAAUUGAUGGUAAAAAAACAUAAAGCACACUGUGGAUAUGCUAACUUUAUCAGCUUUUUCAAGGACAGAGUGUAUUUGCUUAGGGUAGAUGAACUUAUUUGUAUGGUAUCAUGUGUUAUAACAUGAUGUUAUACUGUAGUGCAGCAGCCUGACCUCCUCUCUCAUGGUUCUGUUUGCGUGAUCAGGAUGAGGAUGUGGGUGAGGAUCAGGGCUGUCUGUAAGAAUUCCAGGGCCCGUGAUGGGAGGAGGAUUUUCAGAUGGUUGUGAGUUGUGUUCAUGCCCAGAGGCUGUAUCCUGUCGCCGGGAAUAACCACAAAGUCGAGUGAGCACACAGACAACAGGGGAGGUGCUGAGUCAGCUGUCCGCCGGGCUUAGCACACGCUGCGCUGCCCAGGAUUCUUCAACGCAUGGUUCCCAUCGGCUUCUCAAGUCACGAAUCCCAUGUUUCCAUUUAGAGACUAUCAGCACUUCUUUAUCAAAACACAGACACUAUCAAGAAUCAUUCAAAUCUAUCCAAAAUCUAUAGAGAGACGCAUUUUCUCCCACCUGAAUCCUGCAUAACGGCACUAAGGCUGCUAGCUGGUGUCAGGUUUGA